UAACCCGAGAGGCUGUGAGGAAUGUGGCCCAGCUGCUGGUUUCCCUGGUGAUUGAUGAGCCAAGCUGAUGUCACUUCCCCCCUAUAAAUGGUAGCCUCCUCACCAGGGUGGGUAAGAAGGUUGCCGCGUCCUGCCUGCCUUUGGCCGUGCACCAUGAGUGGGCUGUUCCUCCAGGACCUUUUGCAUUGGAUGCUCUCUCUCCAGUUUAGAGUAGCAGCCUCAUGCUCCUGUUUCAUCUGACUGCCCGGGGAUGGCUGGUAAAUACGGACAAAGUGCAGGGAACUGGGUUAUCCACCAAAUACAGGCAAACCCCAGCUCACUACCCCUAACAAAUUACAGACACAAGCUUUAGGGAUAUUAACUGUUGGACAGGCUUGUGACCUGGAUGUGGCCAGUUACCUGGAAGGGUUGGGUUGGGGCCUCUGACAACAGCAAAAUAGUAAGAGUACCCUUGGGCUUCUGGUCCCAGCUGUGGAAAGGAGCAGAGCAAUGAUACUGUAUGAUGGAACGGCAGCUACACGCCAUCCAAGAUGCCUUCCAACAGGUGGAAGACAUUGCCAAAGGCCUACCUGCGUCAUCAAGCAAUGCAAACAACCCCACUUUCUGGCCAUGGAGUUCCGGAAGGCUGAGAACAACGCCCCACACUGGCGUUCCCACCUGCCCCUCAGCCCUACUGCUGCUGGGAUAAUUGAAAGGAUGAGUGGAUUGCUUAAACAGCAAUUGAGAUAGAAACCUACACUCUCAACACGUGGACCCAGGACGCGAACUCAGGCCCUGCAAACCAUCGCUGAACAUCCCAGGAGCAGCGUCCCAGUGCCUACACCAUGUUAACACAGUGCACCUGGUCAGCACAAUCCGAAUUCAACUGUGGACCACCAAACAUUCAACGCUGACUCUUGGUCAGGACAAUAACUCACAUUUGCCCUUGUCGCAGGAUCUAUGCCUAGGGGAACACAUGAUAAGGUGGGACUGGCAGCUCUAGGUUCUUCCUUUGGUUUCAAGACUGGACACAUAGCAGGCUUGCAGACCUGUGGGGUGCAGCCCAAUACCUCUUAAAUACAUGGAAAUGAUCUUGAUAACAGACUCCAAGUUUGCUCUACACAUAAAUGAAAGGAUACCGAGGAUCUGGACGGCCUUACCUUUACAUGAAAUGUGGUAAGCAAACAGCAGAAGGCAAGGAGAGUAUGCGUUCCAGGUAAGUCUUUGUCUCAGUGACACUUGGCUCACAUUCCAGGCCUUUCUCCCACAUCCUAUUUUUGCUCUGCCUUUAUUGAGGAUAAUUAUGACAUUUGUACUCUCAGGCUGAGUUCCUCUGGGGUUGCUCAACGGCUAGCUUUUGGCCUCAGUCUUAUGUUAUGUAUAGAAGGCAAAUUGUAUGUAGUCCUUUGGUUGAAAUUGAAAAAUGAAACAUUAACUUUGGAUUAAACAUUACAUAUUCCUUUUUUUUUUUGGCACUGAACAUUGAGUCCUUGUCUCUUUUCUAGAGUUACACUUAAUCAUACUUGGAAGUACAGUCCGGGGAAACAAAAUAAUAAUAAAUAACAAAAUCGCUACUGCUUACUGGGCACUUAACUCUCUGACAGCUACUGUGCUAAUUUCAUAAACAAAAUUCACAUUUUCACCUUCUUACAGUUAGAGAAAAAGACAAAGCUUAGUUUCCUUCAGGUCAUAUGACUAGACAAAAGCAAUGCCAGAACUUUCAUGCAACUCUCUCAGGCUUCAAAUAUGUAGGUCAGAGCAAUGCCCACUGAGCCCCAAAUAUUGAGCAUCUAAAUUUUUACACAUUGUGUUUCUUCCAGUCCAUUCAACCCAGCUGUAGCUGCUUUGGCCUGUAAAAGAAUUUUCGAGAAUGUUUUUAAAACAUUUGAAUAAAACAUUCUCAUUUAGUCAAUAUCCACAUGGACAUAGACUAUCUCCUGCCAUGUCAACAAAGGAUAUUGUGUCCAUCAAGUCGUUGGCCACUGCGGCUCGCCCUGUGGUGCCCUGAGGGGAAUUCGGGGUGAAGAAAGCGGGUUACCCACCACCACCACCACCACCACCACCACCACGCCGUCGCCUUCGCAGCUAAUCCCAGUGGUGCAUCCAGAAGGGAAUUCAGGAUGGAGGGAAAACAGGAUACUGGCCCGAGAGAAGUGAUCUUGGGAUGUUCUGACCACCUGGAUUUUUUGGCCAAAACUCCUAAAUAUCCUGGCUCCUGCCUGACCUCUUUGGAACAGUUGCUCGGAGCUGUCAGAGUUUGUAUCUGGACUUCAGUCCUCAGUAAUCCCACUGAAUUCUCAACUCGGAGGUUAUGUGGUGUUGUCUCUUGUUUGUUUUUUUCCAGUUGACAGUCAUGGUGACCAACUAAGGGACCCAGAGAAGACAUCUCUACUUUGCCUGAACGCUAUCGUAGCUGUGGUACCAGCAGAAGCCUCUCGUGUCCAUCGGCUUCUUCAGAGUCCACAUGACUUCGGAAUAGUCUAUCCUGAACCUUAGAUCUCCCCUUACUGGCUAUUGGUCCUAAUGAUGCAUAUUCGGUGCUGGUCAGCUCUUCCCUGGAGGAGUAGGUACGCCUUGAAACCUGGUUUAAAGAAGUACAUGGGUUGUCCUCAGUUAAAAGACCCAAUCGUCUGUGAUAAUCUCUGUGGGAAACUGAUCUGAGCGAGAAUGGAUGUGCUGUACGGCAGAAAUUAUCACAACAUUGCAAAUCAGCUAUACUUGGGUAAAACUUUAAAAAAUGAAAAAAAGAAAAAAAAAGACCUGGGACUCUACAUGCAGCUUAGACAAGAUGCAGAGUGCGUUAUCGCAGCUGAAAGACCAGGAAGACUUUGAUCAGUUGAAAGACUCUGAGCGCAGUUGGAUGAGUAAUUAGGUGGGAGACGGGCCUGUCUUUUUUUGUUUGAAUCGGCUUGAAUAGCUUGUCAAAAUAAAAGUGAAGAUAUCUCAUGAGAGCUUUCAGUUGCAAAGAGGGGACAUCUCUUCACGGUUGGCAACAGCUUUCGACGGCGAGGAAGAAACUCUUAGGAGUGGGGGAGGCAAGUCCCCCUGCCGGGCAGCCGUCCCUCUAGGGACACCCACUCAUCUUGAAUGAAAACAUUGCUGCCAGAGAGACAUGCACAAGACCUGGCCACUCAGUGAUCCGAGCACCCGUGGUUAAAAUGAUAAAAUCCCCUGAGAAGUGGCAGAGUCAGACAAAAGACUGCUCAGACUCGCAGUCUGUUUGACUGCCAAGUAUUUCUUUUAAGGUCCGAAUUCGAAAACAAUGUUUGAUCUAACAGACGUUCUAUAACUUUGUGUACGCAAUCGAAGAAGCCCAUCUGAGUCAUUUUCAGGGGGAGAUUUCCUUUAAUUCCCAAUUGAGUAAGGACUUUGAAGUGUAAACUUGUACAUCCAUAAACCUGGCUGAGGGGUUAGCUGAAGACGAGCAAUCUGUCGUUCCUUUUUGUCAUGACAGCUUUGUUCCCUAUCCCGAGCUCUGUCUGUGGAGACAGAAUAAACCAGUGUUGAUCUUGUGGUGGGUCCAAGUCCUCUUGGUGAGCCUAGUUCUUCUAGAAUUUCUUUUUCCUUUUUUCUUUUUGUCCGGCCACAGCUAUGGAGUUCCUAGGACAGGGACCAGCUGCAGCAGUGCCAGAUCCUUGAAUCCGCUGCAACUGGCCGGGGAUUGAACCCUCGACCUGUGCUGUGGCAGUUGGAUUCUUAACCCACUGCACCACAGGGCAUGCUCCCUAACUCCUCUAGUUUUUAUCCUACAGGAGUGGUUCCAGCUCUUAGGUUUCUCGGUUCUCCCUUCUGUAGUCUAAGUCCACCAUGGGUGCUCCUAGGUGAUGCUGGGGAGUAAACUCUCUGAAUCUUCUAUAGAAAACAUCUCUCCCCCUGUCAUGUGGGAGCACCUCUUGGGUCUUACUGAUUUCAGCCAUUAUUAAGAUAUUUCACAAAUGGCUGCACAAUGGGUCCUUUAAAUUGGAGAAGCUUCUGCAUUGGUGAGUUUUUACAGCAUCCUCAAUAUAAACAGCUAUUUGGCUGAUACCUAUAAAAAAAGGUUAAAAGGUGGAAAAUUAUAUAACAGUUAAUCUAAGAACACCCUUAAUUUAAACAAACAAAAGGUUUGGGGAAGCCCUAUUCAUGGUCGUCUCCUUCCCCUCAGUGGGUCUCAAGACGCUGCUAGGAACAUUCAUGUUAAUUAGGUUGAUUAACAAGGAAGUAAGAAAAAACUGAAGGUAAGUCUAGAGACUGAUUUUUCAAUGAGGAAAUUUUAAAAGGACUACAGGUAUAUCUUAGUCCUGAGAUACAUCUUCAGAUGGUUUUUAAGAAAUAAAGUGGACAUGAAAAGGAUUGAGACAGGGAGUUGCCAUUGUGGCUCAGUGAUAAUGAACCCAAUUAGUAUCUGUGAGGAUGCGAGUUUUGAUCUCUGGCCUUGCUCAAAGGGUUAA